rnacentral:rRNA from 1 species
GAUGAACGCUAGCGGCAGGCUUAAUACAUGCAAGUCGAGGGGCAGCAUGAUUGUAGCAAUACAAUUGACGGCGACCGGCAAACGGGUGCGGGACACGUACACAACCUUCCAACAAGUGGGGGAUAGCCCAGAGAAAUUUGGAUUAAUACCCCGUAACAUAGCGAUGUGGCAUCACAUUGCUAUUAUAGAUUUUUCGCUUGUUGAUGGGUGUGCGGCUGAUUAGAUAGUUGGCGGGGUAACGGCCCACCAAGUCUACGAUCAGUAGCUGAUGUGAGAGCAUGAUCAGCCACACGGGCACUGAGACACGGGCCCGACUCCUACGGGAGGCAGCAGUAAGGAAUAUUGGACAAUGGACGCAAGUCUGAUCCAGCCAUGCCGCGUGAAGGAUUAAGGUCCUCUGGAUUGUAAACUUCUUUUAUAAGGGACGAAAAAAGGCUUUUCUAAGUCGUCUGACGGUACCUUAUGAAUAAGCACCGGCUAACUCCGUGCCAGCCGCCGCCGUAACAC